rnacentral:rRNA from 1 species
CCUACGGGAGGCAGCAGUGGGGGAUAUUGCACAAUGGGGGGAACCCUGAUGCAGCGACGCCGCGUGGGUGAAGGAGUAUUUCGGUAUGUAAAGCCCUAUCGGCAGGGAAGAAUUUAGACGUUACCUGCCUAAGAAGCCCCGGCUAACUACGUGCCAGCAGCCGCGGUAAUACGUAGGGGGCAACCGUUAUCCGGAUUCACUGGGUGUAAAGGGAGCGUAGACGGCCAGGCAAGCCUGGGGUGAAAGGCCGGGGCCAAACCCCGGGACUGCUGUGGAAACUGUCCGGCUGGAGUGCGGGAGGGGCAGGCGGAAUUCCGGGUGUAGCGGUGAAAUGCGUAGAUAUCAGGAGGAA